UGGGGAAUAUUGGGCAAUGGGCGCAAGCCUGACCCAGCAACGCCGCGUGAAGGAAGAAGGCUUUCGGGUUGUAAACUUCUUUGACAGGGGAAGAUAAUGACGGUACCCUGAAAACAAGCUCCGGCUAACCACGUGCCAGCAGCCGCGGUGAUACGUAGGGAGCAAGCGUUAUCCGGAAUUACUGGGUGUAAAGGGCGCGUAGGCGGGUCUGCAAGUCAGAUGUGAAAUGCCGGGGCUUAACCUCGGAGCUGCAUUUGAAACUGUAGGUCUUGAGUGAUGGAGAGGCAGGCGGAAUUCCCGGUGUAGCGGUGGAAUGCGUAGAUAUCGGGAGGAACACCAGAGGCGAAGGCGGCCUGCUGGACAUUAACUGACGCUGAGGCGCGAAAGCGUGGGGAGCAAACAGGAUUAGAUACCC
rnacentral:rRNA from 1 species